ACUUGACCUCAAAUCGAGUAGGACUACCC
rnacentral:rRNA from 1 species